CUGACCGGAGUUUAGCGGAGUUUACACGCAGCAUUUAGAAACAUGCAGAGUGUGAUCGUGAUUUAUGCCCGUGCAAUAACAAACCAAUGCAUCUCUUGACGAAAAGUAUUCAUCAACAGCAUCAACACUAAAACAUAUAAAGAAACUGGGGCUUAUUGAUGGAACAAAAACUACAGUGGCCGAGAAGAAGAGGAACUGGAAGAUGGUGUGAAAGAGACAAGGGAUAAAAAAACGAAAAAAAGAAAGUGAAAAAAAGAAGUAAGAGGACAGUCAGAGAGACGAAGAAUGAAGGGAUAGAAGAGGAAGCAAGAUACGAGAGAGUGACAACAUGCCUAAGACAUAGAAGAAAGAGUGACAGAGCUGAAGUACUGUGGAAUCCCAGUUGAAUAGGCCUUGAUUAACUGUGGCAUGGGG